CGUACUAGCCGGGGAGAUAGCGGUGCCCUGUAGCCUGCAAUCCGCUUUAGCAGGGGUGAUGUCCUGCCUAGGGUGCUUGCUUGUGAAGCUGCCCGUGGCAAGUGGUGUUGACGCGAGGGUCCCCGCGCAACGGGAACCUGUGAACCGUGUCAGGGCAGGAAUGCAGCAGCACUAAGCAGGAGCUUUCGUGUGUGCCGCGAGAUCGCCGUCGCUGAGCUUACUGCCAUGGUAACGUUUGUGAGCGGUGCUCGAAGC
rnacentral:SRP_RNA from 1 species